GAAAAGUAGUUUGAAGGGUGGAGUUGUAUGUUUGUCUGCCUGGUUGCUUACACCUUCUGAGGGAAAUUGGUAUUUUUGGGGAAAUCUGGAGUGACAAACUACUUAGAAGAAGCGUGGAGGCGAGCAUGGAGACCAUGAAAGCAGAACUGCCUUGUUAGAGCUGCAAGACACUGCUCCAACUCAUCAGCCACAAGCAGCAAAGAAAAAAAAGAGGAAACAAGAAGGAUCUGCUGCUGAGAGGCAUCACAUCACGGGUAGCUGCAAGUUAUCAGCUCAGGUCCCACGUACAAGGUGCUGUAACAGGUGGGUGAAUGACACGUCAUGUCUGAAGAUGAAAGAGAGGUAUGGCAGCACUUUAGGAGCCGCCACAUAAUACAGAUUCCAGUUGCAGCUUUGAUCUUCAGCAUCUUUACUUAAUCUAACGUGAAGGAAACACCUCCUGCUUUAUUUUCUUCAUCCCAGCUGCU
rnacentral:lncRNA from 1 species